rnacentral:rRNA from 1 species
GACGAACGCUGGCGGCGUGCCUAAUACAUGCAAGUAGAACGCUGAAGCUUGGUGCUUGCCCCGAGCGGAUGAGUUGCGAACGGGUGAGUAACGCGUAGGUAACCUGCCUGGUAGCGGGGGAUAACUAUUGGAAACGAUAGCUAAUACCGCAUAAGAGUAGAUGUUGCAUGACAUUUGCUUAAAAGGUGCAAUUGCAUCACUACCAGAUGGACCUGCGUUGUAUUAGCUAGUUGGUGAGGUAACGGCUCACCAAGGCAACGAUACAUAGCCGACCUGAGCGGGUGAUCGGCCACACUGGGACUGGGACACGGCCCAGACUCCUACGGGAGGCAGCAGUAGGGAAUCUUCGGAAAUGGACGGAAGUCUGACCGAGCAACGCCGCGGGAGUGAAGAAGGUUUUCGGAUCGUAAAGCUCUGUUGUAAGGGAAGAACGAGUGUGAGAGUGGAAAGUUCACACUGUGACGGUAUCUUACCAGAAAGGGACGGCUAACUACGUG